rnacentral:rRNA from 1 species
GGGGAAUAUUGGACAAUGGGCGAAAGCCUGAUCCAGCAAUGCCGCGUGAGUGAUGAAGGCCUUAGGGUUGUAAAGCUCUUUUACCCGGGAUGAUAAUGACAGUACCGGGAGAAUAAGCUCCGGCUAACUCCGUGCCAGCAGCCGCGGUAAUACGGAGGGAGCUAGCGUUGUUCGGAAUUACUGGGCGUAAAGCGCGCGUAGGCGGCUUGAUAAGUCAGGGGUGAAAUCCCGGGGCUCAACCCCGGAACUGCCUUUGAAACUAUCUGGCUAGAAUCUUGGAGAGGUCAGUGGAAUUCCGAGUGUAGAGGUGAAAUUCGUAGAUAUUCGGAAGAACACCAGUGGCGAAGGCGACUUACUGGACACAUAUUGACGCUGAGGUGCGAAAGCGUGGGGAGCAAAC